GGCGGGGUAGCUCAGUUGGUUAGAGCAAUGCCUUCAUAAGGCAGAGGUCGCCGGUUCGAAUCCGGCUCCCGCUA
rnacentral:tRNA from 1 species